AGUGAACGCUGGCGGUAGGCCUAACACAUGCAAGUCGAACGGCAGCACAGUAAGAGCUUGCUCUUACGGGUGGCGAGUGGCGGACGGGUGAGGAAUACAUCGGAAUCUACUUUUUCGUGGGGGAUAACGUAGGGAAACUUACGCUAAUACCGCAUACGACCUACGGGUGAAAGCAGGGGAUCGUCGGACCUUGCGCGAUUGAAUGAGCCGAUGUCGGAUUAGCUAGUUGGCGGGGUAAAGGCCCACCAAGGCGACGAUCCGUAGCUGGUCUGAGAGGAUGAUCGGCCACCCUGGAACGUAGGCACGGUCCAGACGCCUACGGGAGGCAGCAGUGGGGAAUAUUGGACAAUGGGCGCAAGCCUGAUCCAGCCAUACCGCGUGGGUGAAGAAGGCCUUCGGGUUGUAAAGCCCUUUUGUUGGGAAAGAAAAGCAGCAGGUUAAUACCCCGCUGUUCUGACGGUACCCAAAGAAUAAGCACCGGCUAACUUCGUG
rnacentral:rRNA from 1 species